AUUGAACGCUGGAGGCAUGCCUUACACAUGCAAGUCGAACGGCAGCACGGGUGCUUGCACCUGGUGGCGAGUGGCGAACGGGUGAGUAAUACAUCGGAACAUGUCCUGUAGUGGGGGAUAGCCCGGCGAAAGCCGGAUUAAUACCGCAUACGAUCUACGGCUGAAAGCGUGGGACCUUCGGGCCUCGCGCUAUCGGGUUGGCCGAUGGCUGAUUAGCUAGUUGGUGGGGUAAAGGCCUACCAAGGCGACGAUCAGUAGCUGGUCUGAGAGGACGACCAGCCACACUGGGACUGAGAAACGGACCAGACUCCUACGGGAGGCAGCAGUGGGGAAUUUUGGACAAUGGGCGAAAGCCUGAUCCAGCAAUGCCGCGUGUGUGAAGAAGGCCUUCGGGUUGUAAAGCACUUUUGUCCGGAAAGAAAUCCUUGGCUCUAAUACAGUCGGGGGAUGACGGUACCGGAAGAAUAAGCACCGGCUAACUACGUG
rnacentral:rRNA from 1 species